rnacentral:rRNA from 1 species
GUGAGGAAUAUUGGUCAAUGGACGAGAGUCUGAACCAGCCAAGUCGCGUGAAGGAAGACGGUUCUAUGAAUUGUAAACUUCUUUUGUGCAGGAAUAAAGUGGGUUACGUGUAACCUUUUGUAUGUACUGUACGAAUAAGGAUCGGCUAACUCCGUGCCAGCAGCCGCGGUAAUACGGAGGAUCCGAGCGUUAUCCGGAUUUAUUGGGUUUAAAGGGUGCGUAGGUGGAUGGAUAAGUCAGCGGUGAAAGUUUGCAGCUUAACUGUAAAAUUGCCGUUGAAACUGUCGGUCUUGAGUGCAAAUGAGGUAGGCGGAAUGUGUUGUGUAGCGGUGAAAUGCUUAGAUAUAACACAGAACUCCGAUUGCGAAGGCAGCUUACUGGGAUGCAACUGACACUGAUGCACGAAAGCGUGGGUAUCAAACAGGAUUAGAAACCCGGGUAGUCC